rnacentral:rRNA from 1 species
AUUGAACGCUGGCGGCACGCCUUACACAUGCAAGUCGAACGGCAGCGGACCUUCGGGUGCCGGCGAGUGGCGAACGGGUGAGUAAUGCAUCGGAACGUGCCAUUGAGUGGGGGAUAACGUAGCGAAAGUUGCGCUAAUACCGCAUAUUCUGUGAGCAGGAAAGCAGGGGACCGCAAGGCCUUGCGCUCUUUGAGCGGCCGAUGUCAGAUUAGCUAGUUGGUGAGGUAACGGCUUACCAAGGCGACGAUCUGUAGCGGGUCUGAGAGGAUGAUCCGCCACACUGGAACUGAGACACGGUCCAGACUCCUACGGGAGGCAGCAGUGGGGAAUUUUGGACAAUGGGGGCAACCCUGAUCCAGCCAUGCCGCGUGAGUGAAGAAGGCCUCGGUUGUAAGAC